AGGUGAGGUAGAGGCGCGGUGUUUAAGAGACUGUAGAGGAGCUGAGGAAGCGAUGAUUCUACGGGGGAGGAAAAACCGCCGAAGUGUGGAAUGCCCUCAGCUUUCCAUGCUGGGACUGCAGCAAACAGCUGCUGGACUGUCCAUAGGCCAAGACCCACGGCCCUAUGGUUGAGCUAUCUUAUCA
rnacentral:ncRNA from 2 species